UACAGAGGUCCCAAGCGUUGUUCGGAUUCAUUGGGCGUAAAGGGUGCGUAGGUGGCGCCGUAAGUGGGGUGUGAAAUUUCGGGAGCUUAACUCCGAAACUGCAUUCCAUACUGCGGUGCUUGAGGGACUGGAGAGGAGACUGGAAUUUACGGUGUAGCAGUGAAAUGCGUAGAGAUCGUAAGGAAGACCAGUGGCGAAGGCGGGUCUCGUGGACAGUUCCUGACACUGAGGCACGAAGGCCAGGGGAGCAAACGGG
rnacentral:rRNA from 1 species